rnacentral:rRNA from 1 species
AUACGGAGGAUGCGAGCGUUAUCCGGAUUUAUUGGGUUUAAAGGGUGCGUAGGCUGUGCGUUAAGUCAGGGGUGAAAUGCCGUCGCUCAACGACGGAGCUGCCCUUGAUACUGGCGUGCUGGAGUACGGAUGCCGUUGGAGGAAUGAGUGGUGUAGCGGUGAAAUGCUUAGAUAUCACUCAGAACACCGAUUGCGAAGGCAUCUGACGAAUCCGUCACUGACGCUGAGGCACGAAAGCGUGGGGAUAGAACAGGAUUAGAUACCCUGGUAUUCCACGCCGUAAACGAUGAUGACUAACCGUCGGCGAUAUACAGUAAGUGGCACAGCGAAAGCGUUAAGUAAUCCACCUGGGGAGUACGCCGGCAACGGUGAAACUCAAAUGAAUUGACGGGG